UCAAACCUGGCCUGACAGCUGAAGGAGUUUCCAGUGAGCAAACAGUAGGUUGCUUUCCUACAAUGCCUUUCUAUUAUAUCAAAUAUACAAGAAUGUUCUUAAUGCUUUAAAUGUGCAGAAAUGAAAAGCAAACAGAAGACACACUCUUGGUCUGCAUCGCUCUGUGCCUUCGUGAAAAAUAAGGCAUUGACUUUCCAGUUUGCAGAAUGGAUUACAACAUCCAUAAAUGGUUUUUAAUGCCUAAUCUUAUGUUCUUAUCCCAGGGCCACUGUCAACAAGAGUCUUGGCAUCAUGAAGUGCUCGCAAGUACAUCACUGAAUCUAAAAUUUGAAAAAGGAAGGAAGGAAGGAAGGAAAAGAAAAGAAAAGAAAAGAAAGAAAGAAAGAAAGAGAGAAAGAAAGAAAGAAAGAAAGAGAGAAAGAAAGAAAGAAAGAAAGAGAGAAAGAAAGAAAGAAAGAAAGAGAGAAAGAAAGAAAGAAAGAAAGAGAGAAAGAAAGAAAGAAAGAAAGAGAGAAAGAAAGAAAGAAAGAAAGAGAGAAAGAAAGAAAGAAAGAAAGAAAGGGCUCCCAUUCAUCCCCUGGAAUCAUGUCAUCCAAUCAACUAAAUUCAUAAACAAAACUGAACAGAAAGGAUACAGGAUCCAUCAAGUAAGGAAGGAUGAAUGAUGUAAGCUGUUCCUCAAGGGCUUUACCUUGAUGAUUUUUGCUUCCUUUACUCACAUCAAGAAGAGAUACGGAAAAAAGCUUGAUGUGAGAUUUGAUAGUCAUAUAGCCACGUAUUAACUCCUUAUGUAUUCCACUUCUCCUUUCACUUCUUGACCUCAUAUUUUUGAAUACUGAUUUGAUAAAAUAAGCAAAUGUACUGUGUUUCAAUGGGGUUAAAGACUCAUUAGUUCUAUAUCCACCCAAGUUCUCUCUCUCUCUCUCUCUCCCUUUUUAAAUCAAUUAAUAUUGCAAUUCUAUAGAUGUCUAUUCAGAAGUAAAUAUCAUUAGGUUAUUCCUUGGCAAGAGAAUACAGGAUGGAUUGCAGCCUGUGAGACAAAGUAACUAUGAAAAGCAAUUUUAACCUUCUACCUGUUCACAGUCCAGGCAACAUGCAGUUUCAAGCUAAAAAGCCACAUUUCUGUAACUCAUUAUAUUGUUCUACAAGUCACAGCUGACAGGUGUCACUUUAAACAUGAUGACAUUUAGCCGAAAUCAGUGGGUUACUCUAGAGUUUUAUAUCUAUGAGGUCCAACAGUAAGAUGUCAAUCACAACUGUGCUUUUAUUCAUUGACUAAACACUCUGAAUGGCAAUAGCAGAUUUGCUUCUCUAUCUGCAUCUCCUGGUUAUUUAAAUCUCUGGAAAAACCCUUGACUAAGCCAAACUCAUAAACCAACUGGGCAUAACAGCAAUCAGAUGGCUGCAAAGGAAAAAGCCAUCUGGUGUAUGUGCCCUACAGCUUCUCCUUUAUUUGUCAUGGCUCCAUUUUAUGGAAUUCUUCAAAUAACCAUGGUGCCUCUCUACAUUACAGAAUUAAAUUGAUUUAUCCCCAUCUUUUCACAGUGCCUUCUAUGUAGCUUACCAAAUUACAGCACCUAGGAUCCCCAAGGAUGGAGCCCUGGUAAAUGAAGUGACAUAAAAGUGAUAUGAAUAUAAAAUAUACAUAUGCCUUUAUCAUCUUUU
ensembl:lncRNA